GAUGAACGCUAGCGGCAGGCCUAACACAUGCAAGUCGAACGGUAAGGCCCUUCGGGGUACACGAGUGGCGAACGGGUGAGUAACACGUGGGUGAUCUGCCCUGCACUUCGGGAUAAGCUUGGGAAACUGGGUCUAAUACCGGAUAGGACCACGGUCUGCAUGGAUUGUGGUGGAAAGCUUUUGCGGUGUGGGAUGGGCCCGCGGCCUAUCAGCUUGUUGGUGGGGUGAUGGCCUACCAAGGCGACGACGGGUAGCCGGCCUGAGAGGGUGUCCGGCCACACUGGGACUGAGAUACGGCCCAGACUCCUACGGGAGGCAGCAGUGGGGAAUAUUGCACAAUGGGCGCAAGCCUGAUGCAGCGACGCCGCGUGGGGGAUGACGGCCUUCGGGUUGUAAACCUCUUUCAGCAUCGACGAAGCGCAAGUGACGGUAGAUGCAGAAGAAGCACCGGCCAACUACGUG
rnacentral:rRNA from 1 species